CCUUCGGACCAWAAUUGUUGUAUGGCUUGUGUGGGCGASGGGCACAACGUGAAUCCGUAAUAGGCCAUGGCGGGUGUCUUUUUAAGCAUCCAAGCCAUACAACAAUUUGGGGUUGGGAGGUGAUGGAUAUAAAUCGAUGUAUGUUUAUUGUCGGAUGAUAUGGUUGCGCGAUUUACACCAAACAUACAUCGAUUUAUAUCCAUCAUGGCGCUUAUCGAUGUAUGGCUUGUGUGGGGCGAGAAACACAACGUGGAACCGUAAAACGAUCUGCAAGGGUUUCCCAAACCACACAAGCCAUACAUCGGUUGUAAGUCGCAAAACAACCACAAUUGUUGUAUUGCUUGGAUGUGUGCGAGAGGCACAACGUGAAUCCGUAAUAGGCCAUGGCGGGUGUCUUUUUAAGCGUCCAAGCCAUACAACAAUUGGGGGGGAUUAUUCUAGCGGGUUUCGUUCUCUUCGUAUCGUGC
rnacentral:misc_RNA from 1 species